rnacentral:rRNA from 1 species
UAGGGAAUCUUCGGCAAUGGACGAAAGUCUGACCGAGCAACGACGCGUGAGUGAAGAAGGUUUUCGGAUCGUAAAACUCUGUUGUUAGAGAAGAACAAGGACGUUAGUAACUGAACGUCCCCUGACGGUAUCUAACCAGAAAGCCACGGCUAACUACGUGCCAGCAGCCGCGGUAAUACGUAGGUGGCAAGCGUUGUCCGGAUUUAUUGGGCGUAAAGCGAGCGCAGGCGGUUUCUUAAGUCUGAUGUGAAAGCCCCCGGCUCAACCGGGGAGGGUCAUUGGAAACUGGGAGACUUGAGUGCAGAAGAGGAGAGUGGAAUUCCAUGUGUAGCGGUGAAAUGCGUAGAUAUAUGGAGGAACACCAGUGGCGAAGGCGGCUCUCUGGUCUGUAACUGACGCUGAGGCUCGAAAGCGUGGGGAGCAAACAGG